CCGGUCACGUCUGUGGAGGUAUCUUUGGACGAUUUGGCCGGAAAAGCUCGGAUCGAAGGAAAUUCCUCCCCGGUUGCAGUUUUGGGAUUUUGCCGAUUUCCGGCCAUUCCGGCCACCUCCGGCCGCCAUAUUCCCAUCGAAGGGUUCUUGGAGCUUCGGGACUUUCCUUCACCGGCUCGAUUCGGCCACUUAGAGGACGAGAGGAGUCUCCACACGAGGAGAAUCACGAGCGACGUCAGGAUUGACC